ACAUAUUGAAUAGAAAAUGCGCACGUGUACCACAAUUGAAUGGGAACAACGAAUAGUAAUGCACAUGUUAAAUGGAUUAAAAGCAGAAACGGAAACACGUUCAUCCAAUCCUUGGUCUCAACUUUUGUUAUGUUAUGCGUCCCCCUCCGCCGUGCCGGAGGAUGGCCUCUGCGGAAGAGGCUUUCCAAAACCAAAUCAAACAUCACGUUCGAACCUAAUUUGCGCCUUGAAUCCGAAUACGCCACCAGAAUUUUCUAACUCCCCCAGCAUCGCUCGGAUCGAAGAAGAAACGUGGUGAAUCCCUAACUCAUAAUCUUGAGAUUUAAACAACGACGGAGGGGAAUCGAGCCACCUCACGUUGGGGAUUUGAUUCCCCUCAUGAAAAGCUACGCAACGGUAACCUCGAUAUGCAAAGAAGAUGAAGAUAGAGGCGAAGGUUUACCGGAACGGCGCCAGUGUCAGGUUUUCGGUUUUGCGGCUUUUUGUUGGUUGGUGGUUAUGGCUGAAGGAACGAAGAAUGGUGGUUGAGUGGUGAUGAUUGGAGGUUACACGUUAGAUGCAAGUGAGGCUCAGUGAGGAUGAAGAUUGAAGAGUUUCGUUGAAGGUGAUGAGAAAUGGAAAUGAGACCAGUUGAGGGUGAAGUGAGAAGAGGAUGAAAUGGGAGUGAAGAAGAUUGAUAGUGGAUAGAGAAGAUGGAAGAAAACCAGCCCCAAAACAGAAUCACGAAGGUGACGUCUUUUCCCCGCAUAUUUGCCAACUACUAAGCUGUCAACGAGUUGUAGUCGUGAACUCAAAUGUGUUGGACUUGAGGAUGCUGCUUUUAUAAGAAUUUGCAGGGGAGUCUUGCCGGUUUUGUCAAAAAUUACACACGUGGACCUUGUUGCAUUUUCUCCUUGACUUCUGUCAUGCGUUUGUCAUGCGUUUGCUGCUUGCUGAGCUUGGUUGUGAUGCAGGUCUGCCAUGGUGUUCCUGUUACAGCUGCCAUGUGUUUUGGACGUGGCGGUUUAUAUUUGUUCGGUUGAUGCUGCAGCUUUUCCAUUUGCAGCUUUGUGUGGCUAGUUUCGUUUUGACGACAACUUCCUCACAAUUGUUAGUUUCAGACUUAGAACCGCCAUCCUAUCAUGUGGCAGCCUGGGCACAGCAGUAACAAACUGAAACAAGGCCCUCUAUUGUUCUAGAGUGAACUCUUUCAUAAUUGCAAGUAGAUUAACAAUGGCAGGGUAUCAUACCCCAAUUUUGUCCGGGUAAGGAAAAAUCUUUCACCAGCAUUCACUAUCCAAUGUUAUAAGACAUGAAUUUUAUCUUAAGACAUAGGUUCUAUUUUAGGGUUUCUCAGCCCUUGGUGACAUCAAGUCUUCAAUGACAUUGUCAUCUAUUAAGAUCCUUAAGAAGACACUUGUUGUUUUUGUCUAUUAUGGCUAUUAACUGAAGCAUAGGAUAGUAUGUGCACUUUGGGACUUUUUGGUUAACAAGGUCCGUUUUGGUUUAUCCCUGAGAACUCUUGGUUUUAAAAAAGGGUUCAUUCACAUAAACAUGUCCAUGAUUAAUAUUGCAAAGUAUGGUUCAAAUCUUUUUCCAUUACUAAUCCAAAAUCCAUUUGAUUAUUA